rnacentral:rRNA from 1 species
GAUGAACGCUCGCGAUAGGCUUAACACAUGCAAGUCGAGGGGCAGCAUGGUCUUAGCUUGCUAAGGCUGAUGGCGACCGGCGCACGGGUGCGUAACGCGUAUGCAACUUGCCUCACAGAGGGGGAUAACCCGUCGAAAGACGGACUAAUACCGCGUACCCUCUAUGUUGGGCAUCCAAGGUAGAGGAAAUGAAAUUCGCUGUGAGAUAGGCAUGCGUCCCAUUAGCUAGUUGGUGAGGUAACGGCUCACCAAGGCGACGAUGGGUAGGGGAACUGAGAGGUUGAACCCCCACACUGGUACUGAGACACGGACCAGACUCCUACGGGAGGCAGCAGUGAGGAAUAUUGGUCAAUGGGCGAGAGCCUGAACCAGCCAAGUCGCGUGAAGGAUGACUGUCUUAUGGAUUGUAAACUUCUUUUAUACGGGAAUAACAAGAGUCACGUGUGGCUCCCUGCAUGUACCGUAUGAAUAAGCAUCGGCUAACUCCGUG